rnacentral:rRNA from 1 species
AUUGAACGCUGGCGGCAGGCCUAACACAUGCAAGUCGAGCGGUAGCACAGAGAGCUUGCUCUCGGGUGACGAGCGGCGGACGGGUGAGUAAUGUCUGGGAAACUGCCUGAUGGAGGGGGAUAACUACUGGAAACGGUAGCUAAUACCGCAUAAUGUCGCAAGACCAAAGUGGGGGACCUUCGGGCCUCAUGCCAUCAGAUGUGCCCAGAUGGGAUUAGCUAGUAGGUGGGGUAACGGCUCACCUAGGCGACGAUCCCUAGCUGGUCUGAGAGGAUGACCAGCCACACUGGAACUGAGACACGGUCCAGACUCCUACGGGAGGCAGCAGUGGGGAAUAUUGCACAAUGGGCGCAAGCCUGAUGCAGCCAUGCCGCCGUGUGUGAAGAAGGCCUUCGGGUUGUAAAGCACUUUCAGCGGGGAGGAAGGCGUUAAGGUUAAUAACCUUGGCGAUUGACGUUACCCGCAGAAGAAGCACCGGCUAACUCCGUGCCAGCAGCCGCGGUAAUACGGAGGGUGCAAGCGUUAAUCGGAAUUACUGGGCGUAAAGCGCACGCAGGCGGUCUGUCAAGUCGGAUGUGAAAUCCCCGGGCUCAACCUGGGAACUGCAUUCGAAACUGGCAGGCUAGAGUCUUGUAGAGGGGGGUAGAAUUCCAGGUGUAGCGGUGAAAUGCGUAGAGAUCUGGAGGAAUACCGGUGGCGAAGGCGGCCCCCUGGACAAAGACUGACGCUCAGGUGCGAAAGCGUGGGGAGCAAACAGGAUUAGAUACCCUGGUAGUCCACGCCGUAAACGAUGUCGAUUUGGAGGUUGUGCCCUUGAGGCGUGGCUUCCGGAGCUAACGCGUUAAAUCGACCGCCUGGGGAGUACGGCCGCAAGGUUAAAACUCAAAUGAAUUGACGGGGGCCCGCACAAGCGGUGGAGCAUGUGGUUUAUUCGAUGCAACGCGAAGAACCUUACCUGGUCUUGACAUCCACAGAACUUAGCAGAGAUGCUUUGGUGCCUUCGGGAACUGUGAGACAGGUGCUGCAUGGCUGUCGUCAGCUCGUGUUGUGAAAUGUUGGGUUAAGUCCCGCAACGAGCGCAACCCUUAUCCUUUGUUGCCAGCGGUUCGGCCGGGAACUCAAAGGAGACUGCCAGUGAUAAACUGGAGGAAGGUGGGGAUGACGUCAAGUCAUCAUGGCCCUUACGACCAGGGCUACACACGUGCUACAAUGGCAUAUACAAAGAGAAGCGACCUCGCGAGAGCAAGCGGACCUCAUAAAGUAUGUCGUAGUCCGGAUUGGAGUCUGCAACUCGACUCCAUGAAGUCGGAAUCGCUAGUAAUCGUAGAUCAGAAUGCUACGGUGAAUACGUUCCCGGGCCUUGUACACACCGCCCGUCACACCAUGGGAGUGGGUUGCAAAAGAAGUAGGUAGCUUAACCUUCGGGAGGGCGCUUACCACUUUGUGAUUCAUGACUGGGGUG